rnacentral:ncRNA from 1 species
GUGAGUCGUAUGAUGGGCAACUAUCUCCUACGGUUCGGAGAGGACUCAGUUAUUAGUUAGUACCCUCUUGGUUUCAGGGUGGACUCUUUCACUCUAU